rnacentral:rRNA from 2 species
AGAGUUUGAUCCUGGCUCAGGACGAACGCUGGCGGCGUGCCUAAUACAUGCAAGUCGAGCGGACAGAUGGGAGCUUGCUCCCUGAUGUUAGCGGCGGACGGGUGAGUAACACGUGGGUAACCUGCCUGUAAGACUGGGAUAACUCCGGGAAACCGGGGCUAAUACCGGAUGCUUAUUUGAACCGCAUGGUUCAAAUAUAAAAGGUGGCUUCGGCUACCACUUACAGAUGGACCCGCGGCGCAUUAGCUAGUUGGUGAGGUAACGGCUCACCAAGGCAACGAUGCGUAGCCGACCUGAGAGGGUGAUCGGCCACACUGGGACUGAGACACGGCCCAGACUCCUACGGGAGGCAGCAGUAGGGAAUCUUCCGCAAUGGACGAAAGUCUGACGGAGCAACGCCGCGUGAGUGAUGAAGGUUUUCGGAUCGUAAAGCUCUGUUGUUAGGGAAGAACAAGUACCGUUCGAAUAGGGCGGUACCUUGACGGUACCUAACCAGAAAGCCACGGCUAACUACGUGCCAGCAGCCGCGGUAAUACGUAGGUGGCAAGCGUUGUCCGGAAUUAUUGGGCGUAAAGGGCUCGCAGGCGGUUUCUUAAGUCUGAUGUGAAAGCCCCCGGCUCAACCGGGGAGGGUCAUUGGAAACUGGGGAACUUGAGUGCAGAAGAGGAGAGUGGAAUUCCACGUGUAGCGGUGAAAUGCGUAGAGAUGUGGAGGAACACCAGUGGCGAAGGCGACUU